rnacentral:lncRNA from 1 species
GUAACCGGGCCAACCGAGUUGACCCGGUUCAGCUCCUCCUCCAAACCUCUCCCACACCAGUGUCUCAGUGUCCAAAGCAAACCCUUCAUCAGACAACGUCCCUGGUCCCAAAUGUGCCUUUGGGUCCGGCCAGGUCUCUCCUCCAAAUAUCAGUAUAUAUUUCCCCACAACCGCAUGUCCAAACACGCUCCUCGCAGAAGGUUUGUCUCCUUUAGUCUCCACUUCGGUCCAUUUUUGAGUAGCCGGGUCAUAAAACUGCACUUGGUCGGACUCAUAGUCAUUUUUUCCAUUAGGAUCAGGAGAAGUUGCAAACCCGUAAACCACCCAAAUCUUUCCUUGCACCACAACGAAUCCAGCUCCUCCUCUUCUCUCGAACCUUGGGAACUGCUCACCAGGAUCAGGAAGCUGAGACCAUUUCCCAUCAGCAAUGUUAUAGGCCUCG